GUAACCCAGUUGGACCUUAAUAUUCAAACACAAGUUGUUAUCUGUAAACCUAAGCUUGAAUAAUGAAAAUAUAUUCAACCACUCUGCAUUUGGAGGCAUAGGCACAAUUGGUCGAACACUGUGAUCAAAUCUUGUUCGUUCUCUGUUUGCCUUUUUCAUAGCUAUUUUGUUUAAAACCAAGGUUGUUAUAAAACAUUCUUAAUUGCUGCAGAAUUGUGUUGGUCAGAGUUCAGGCACCGUGAAAUUUUCGGAGGUGAUCCAUGACAGAAUGUUAUGAAGAAAAUAAAUGAAACAAAGACUCCAUGGAAUUUUUUUUUUUCUUAUGUAAUUUGGUACAAGUUUUUUCC
rnacentral:lncRNA from 1 species